UAUGUAGGGGGCAAGCGUUGUCCGGAAUCAUUGGGCGUAAAGCGCGUGUAGGCGGUCCGGUAAGUCCGCUGUGAAAGUCGGGGGCUCAACCCUCGGAUGCCGGUGGAUACUGUCGGGCUUGAGUACGGAAGAGGCGAGUGGAAUUCCUGGUGUAGCGGUGAAGUGCGCAGAUAUCAGGAGGAACACCAAUUGCGAAGGCAGCUCGCUGGGACGUUACUGACGCUGAGACGCGAAAGCGUGGGGAGCAAACAGG
rnacentral:rRNA from 1 species